rnacentral:rRNA from 1 species
CAUUGUUGGACACAUCAAUGCAUUUUUUACGCGACCCCAGGUCAGGCGGGACUACCCGCUGAGUUUAAGCAUAUCAAUAAGCGG